rnacentral:rRNA from 1 species
GACGAACGCUGGCGGCGUGCUUAACACAUGCAAGUCGAACGGAAAGGCACUGCUUUUGUGGGGUGCUCGAGUGGCGAACGGGUGAGUAACACGUGAGUAACCUGCCCUUGACUUUGGGAUAACUUCAGGAAACUGGGGCUAAUACAGGAUAGGAGCUCCUGCUGCAUGGUGGGGGUUGGAAAGUUUCGGCGGUUGGGGAUGGACUCGCGGCUUAUCGGCUUGUUGGUGGGGUAGUGGCUUACCAAGGCUGUGACGGGUAGCCGGCCUGUGAGGGUGACCGGCCACAUUGGGUCUGAGAGACGGCCCAGACGCCUAAGGGAGGCAGCAGUGGGGAAGAUUGCACAAUGGGCGGAAGCCUGAUGCAGCAGCGCCGCGUGCGGUAUGACGGCCUUCGUGUUGUAAACCGCUUUCGCCUGUGACGAAGCGUGAGUGGCGGUAAUGGGUAAAGAAGCACCGGCUAACUACGUG